GGAGUUUCCAGAUGAUCUGUCAGAGGAAGAAACUGUGUGUCCUCUGGCAGAAAACCCAAGCCAAGACAUGGUCUUGAUUAUUGGGAGCAUGUGCUGGACCUACAACAUGGGUGAGCUACUGGGAGAAGGAGGAUUUGGUGCCGUAUAUGCUGGUGUCCGUGCCCAUGAUGGUCUUCCGGUGGCAAUCAAGUUUGCCAAAAAAAUGGAGGGCAUGGAAUAUCUCUACGUU